CGAACGCCUGCGACCAGCGAUACUGGGGCUGCUCUGCCCAGCGUUCCUUUAUCGUCCGCUAGCAUCACACACACCUACAUGCACACCCACAUGCACACACACACACACACACUCACAUAUGCCCACACACCCACUCAAACCCACACACUUGGUUCACUAAAAGAGCCUGCAGAGCCAGCUGCAGAAGCUGUGCAUGUGGUCUCUCUCUUGACAGCUCAACGCACACAUCAAACAACUGUUGCACUCUCUCACCAUCCCCAAUACUUUGUCGCUCCCCCCCCCCCCCCCCCCCCUCUCUCCUUCUCUUUAUUUACAAGGUUAGCAGGAGCGCUCAGAGGAAGCUUCAACUGCCUUGCAGACAGACAGGCUUUUCGUGACUGCGUGUCUUUCUGUCUUACAUUCCGAUACAUGUGUGUGUUCCCUGACUGCCUGUCCGUCUGUCUGAGUGUGUGUCUGUGUCUGUGUGUGCGUGUGAAGUAAGAAUGUAUUUGUAUAUUCCUCUCUCUAAUGACUUAGAAUGAGGCUCUUUCAAAUCUGUAUAUAAUGUGAAUAUGAAUUGUACUCAUGUUUAUGAUUUUUAAUAAAAGGUGCUUUAACCAAAAGCGAUUCCCCCUGGUUGUCCUCCUUUACUGUGUGUUCUCGUAAGUCUUGUUGCUAAUGUAUUUUCUACCAUUCAGUGAAUGUCCGUUCUUCCUGUUUGUUCAGCAGGGACGGCAGGCAUUCUCGUUCCCAUUGUUUUUCAUGGGGCUAAAAUCAAAGCAAUUGUCUACAGGAAAUACAUGGAAAGAGUACCAUAUCCGUCUCCCUGCAGUUUCACUGCUCCGUGUCGUAAUUGCUGAGCCCGCCCUUUGCUGUGAUCAGCCAAUUCAGACUUCUUCUUGAAGAAAGUAAACCUGUAAGAUUGGUUAAUCAUCCGCUAUAGGGAUCUACCCAUCUAAGUGUUUAACUCCUAGCACAACACAAGUUGUUUGUCUUGUACAAAAACUGGUAUUAGAUCAAUUGGUUCUACAUUUGUUUCAACCAAAAAUAAUGACAGCCAAUUAUGUGGUCAGUUAAAGCCGACCGUUUGUGGGAGUAUAAUUUAAGCCAUUAAACAACGGAAUUUAACAUUGUUCUUGCUACCUGAUAGUUACAGCCCGAUGAUUAACUAACUAGGCUGUAAUUAGCUUUUUUUUCCGGACAUAAUCACCGCUAACAGCCAGACUGAAGGAUAAUCCUACCUCCCAACGGGUCGGCCUCCUCUGAAUCAACUGGUGCUAAUGCCUGUUUGAUACACUAAUGGUUAAUGAGUCGCUACACCGCUGUGUAAAGGUUUAAGACGCCACGAGUGAAAUACACCCGUUGGGUUCAUUCAUACAGGUAGGUCUCUAUAGCCGCUUGCUUAAUUCCAGUAUCACGCUCUCUAAGGGUCUGUGGUCAGUAUACUGCAGUUUAAAAGUUGUUGUCACAGGGGGUCAAGCUGCUCCACAGCUGCGGGCUACUUAACCUUCUCGACUCCCAGCUUCUGAAAUGUAGCAAAGUAAACAAACACCAAGAUUGCAUGUAUUGAAGUUUUUAUUGAAAAGGGGAUCUAUGAAUUAAGUCUGACAUGUGCAAUAUAUUUCUAUCGAAUUAUAAAUCGGAUGCAACAAUGUGAGCGAUGUAAACUUGUGAGAGGAAAGCUCCAACCGACAGUUUGAGAGAGGACUUAAAGCCUCUGGGAACGUUUUAAAUAUCCCCCACCUGUCACAAGUGAAUAUCGUGAAAGAUUAUCUUAACAGAUUACAUUCAUGGUUUUUCAAGUUUUAUGGAGGUAAUGUGAUCAGGCUUCAAAGCUUCACUGUAACUUUGACUAAACAUUACUUCUUGCAAUUAUUGGUAAACUAAUAGGCCAAAUACCAGUGUAUACAGACCAUGUGUACAGAAUGACAUGAAAAAAUUCAGAUAAGCCUUUCUCCACAAUGGCCUUACAUUCUACCGCACAGUUUCUUUGCAGAAAGGUCAUACACAAGUCACUCGUGCAAUGAUGGGAGACCUACCACAUACUCCCAUCAUCGAACAUUGUGUAACACAAUUUGAUUUAUGCACUACGUUCCAGGGAGAAAUAAGCAAAACAAUGUGUAUUGCUAUAUUUAUGCAUGCAAUAUAAUUGUAACCUAAUGAUAUGGAAUAUGUGAAGUGGCUGUUAUGUUUCCUUCUACCAUCCUCUAGUAUUUUAAGGUAAGCAUGAAUAAUGCUUUUUUGAUUACCUUUAAUUAAGCUAAAAAGGAUUUGGUCAUAUAAUAUUAAUUUAAAAUCGGUUAUAUUGCUCAGAAAAUGUAUAUAUGUAAUACACCAUGUAAUUUCUUUCUUCUACUGGUUUGUGAUCAUCUAUAAAUUAAAGAUCUCUGCAAACAAAAUUAAUCAUUGGGUUUGCAUUGUGAAAGGCACAUGUGAAGUGUACUGAUUUUAAAACUCCAUUUGGGCAGGUUGUAGAUUUGGAAAUAUUAUUUUGCUUGAAUGGAGGCUGGGACCAAACCUUCAAACCCAGAACAACAUCUCAUUAAGAUAGGUCCCAACAUAAAUGUCCUUCAUAAUGGUAUAUUUUAUGUAGGAUAUAUGCUUUGGAAACAUAUGUCCUUCAAAAUUGUAUAUUUUAU
ensembl:lncRNA